UUCCAAUGCCCUCGCGAAUGCCGUGGCGUUUCGCCUACGGAAUAAUGAUCUCAUGGAGGCGUGUGGCUAAAUAGCGGCGCGCGCAAGUGCUUGCUGGGGCCACGGUUAAAUGUUCACGAAGUGNNNNNCUGCGCGGCAACUCCAACGACCAGCGCCUGACAGGUGUUAGACCUCUCCGCCGCUCAGGACUUACUUCGGGACGGGUGUCCCGGUGCUUACCGCGCUUGGAAGCC
rnacentral:misc_RNA from 1 species